AACGGCCGCGGUAUCCUAACCGUGCGAAGGUAGCGUAAUCACUUGUUCUUUAAAUGCGGACUAGUAUGAAUGGCACUACGAGGGUUAUACUGUCUCCUUUUUCUAAUCAGUGAAACUAAUUUUCCCGUGAAGAAGCGGGGAUACAACUAUAAGACGAGAAGACCCUAUGGAGCUUUAAACAAUCCAGCAGUUACUUCUAAAAUUAUUAAUUUCAGAAUAUUCAUUUUUUUAAGUAAUGUGUCUGCAAGUUUUUGGUUGGGGUGACCAUGGAGAAUAACAUAACCUCCAUAUUGAAUGAACUCCCUUCUAAGCUGAAAAUUACCAAUUGAAGCAUCAACAUACUGACAUCUAUUGACCCAAUAUAUUUGAUCAACGAACCAAGUUACCCUAGGGAUAACAGCGCAAUCCACUUCAAGAGCCCCUAUCGACAAGUGGGUUUACGACCUCGAUGUUGGAUCAGGGUAUCCCAGUGGCGCAGCCGCUACUAAAGGUUCGUUUGUUCAACGAUUAAAACCCU
rnacentral:rRNA from 1 species